rnacentral:tRNA from 1 species
UGGCUGAGUGGUAAGGCACUUGGCUUCCUAACCAAGAGUUCCAGGUUCGAAUCCUGG